GGCGUCGAAGUAGUUGUUUGCAAGUAGUGUUGUCUAUUUUUUUUCACUUUUUUCGUCAUUUAAAACUAAUAAUUUAUCAAAAGUGUACGUGUGUCGUGAUUAUUAAAGCUUUUCGGUUAUAGUGAUAUAUUAGAAUAUGGGAAAUAUCGCGAAAAAUAUUGUUUAUUGAGCAAAAGUAAAAUUGACAAGCAGCAUGUAGAGAAUUCCGGCCGGUCUUUUCUUUUCACAUCGUAUUUUGCACAUUAUUCAAAGUAUUUGCAUCAGUCAGUGGGGUAGAAAACUAAAUUUUAUUGAAAAAAUUAGAUUAUUUCGGAAUAUAGAAUAUUUUUAAAUUUUCUCGGAAGUAGGAAUCGGCGCUGUUUGAUAGUUCCCAAUUUUUCAAGAUGGCGUCGCAAUCAGUCGAGUCGGAGUAAAAUCGCGCCAAAAAGACGUUGAUUCGCGAUAAUGUUGAUCGUUUAUUUUUGUUUUAUUUCUUUCUAAGUUUAUAAUUUUAGUUUCAAAAGAAUAAGCUUAUUGAUGUGUAAAAUAAAUUUCGUAAUUUGUAGUAAAGUAUAAAUUUUCCGGAGAGUGUAAAUUCAAGUGCUUUUGUAGUGAAUUUUAAUAUCGGAUCCAAGUGUAUAUAAACAAAAUUGACCGCUUGUGUUUACGAAUUUUGAAUCUAAAUAUAAAGUAUUCAGAGAAUUGAAUAUAUUUAUUCCUAACUAAUCUGCCAUUGGAUGUACACGCAGAACUAAAAAGAGAGAUUUCCUAAUAUUUCCGCCUCUUCUUCUUUUAUUGACGAAUUCAACAAUGAUUCUAUCCUCGAUGGCAUCUUAUCUUCAAGGACACAGAAUUCUUCAUAUUUUGACUUUUUAGAACUCGGUCUAUUUUGACGGUUAUUUUUCACAUUUUCUGAAUGGAAAUUUAACUUGAAAGUAGGGAUCUCCGAGGGCUAUUUAGUUUGAAAUAAUCUUCUGGAAGCAGAAUCUCCUGGAAGCUGAAAAUUCGUUAUUAAGG